CCGCGCUAGGUGGGGAGCCAGCGGUGCCCUGCACCUGCAAUCCGCUACAGCAGGACCGAAAGGCCGUCCGAGGCCGGGUUUUGGAGAGUACGGAACGGAUAAGGAGUGUUGAUAACAAGGUCCCGUGCAACAUCGCACCGUGAACCAUGUCAGGGCGGGAACGCAGCAGCAUUAAGCGGACCGCGCUGUGUGCCACGGGGCAACCUUGCGGUAGCCACCUGUCCGGAUACCUUCUCGGAGAUUUCUGUCGACGACGGAGGCGC
rnacentral:SRP_RNA from 1 species